UCAUAAACUGUUUAAAGAAAAAGAAGCGAGAAAGAAAUUGGAAUUUUAUAAAAGCAAUGCUUUAUUAUACAAUCUGUAUUGUAUAUUUCUUGUGAAACAACAUGAUUCAAAGUACCAAUCCAUAUGAUAUAGAAUUAAUUAUAUGCCCACUACUGAACUUAUUUCUGUUACCUUUAUAUAAAAAUAUAAGCUGCAGGCCUUGUAUGUUAGAACACGGGCCAUUGGACAGUCUUGAAGAAAGCACUUGCAAAGACUCUGACUUCAAAUUUUGUCAGCUUAGAAUUGAUUUGUCAGAAUCGUAGUGCAUGUGCGAGAUGCCUUUCAUCCGGAUUGAUGCCAAACAAUUCAUGGCACUACAGCAAAGAGCUGCUUCAUCUAACAUUGAAAUAUUGCCACUUUUGGAUUCCAAGACUGAAAUCUUUAAACUCCUGGGUGGCAGCCUAACACACAAAAAAAUCCAUAUAUGCAGAAAAAUAUAUGGAAAAGAAAUUAGAGCAGUCUUCUUUUAAAACUGCUGGGAUGAUAUAUGUCUUAAACAGAAUUUAGCAAGGUAUUUCUUUAAACAUCAUUUUAUGCACUAUCCUAAAUACUGUGCCCACUGGCAUUCUGGUUGGAGAUACCCUGACAUGAGAGUGACACAUGAACUUGGACUACUCAGUCAAACCACCUUCACUGUGUCUUGAAGUUAUUUAUUUUUAGAGGCUGCAGCCCUGCUGAUCAGAGAAGAUGUAUUUAAUAUUACCACACUUCAUUUUCUCUAAAGCAGAAGAGCUUUCUUUACCCCCAGUUAAUCUAUUUACUACAUAAUAAAAGCUAAAUAAAGCUGGAAUUUUUGAGGGGGGCAUGUUAUCUGUAUUUGGCAUCCAACACAACAUAGAUGAAGACAAAAUCUCUCAAUGUGUAGUUUCUGAUGGACUUAGGAUGAUGAAAAACACUCCAAGGAAGGUGGACAACUCACCUGGAGCCUUCAAAUGAUCUCAGCUGUACUUAACCUUACAGCUAUGGGCCAAAAGCAUCAUUUGGAGAAAUUACACAACUAUGUCAGUUAGUUGACCACAGCUACAUUACAACAAGGCAGUUCAUCUAUGGCCAUCUUUCUGGUGAUGCCCACAUCCUCUCUCCUGACACAUAACCUAAAUUCGGGUGUCCCUGGCAAGCACCAGUUGCACUGUCCUCUCGGCGGACAUGUAGCCUCAUGAUGGCCCUGGCAUCCCUGGGAAGGAUGGCUCCUCAAAGCCUUGCUUGGCUGCCAGCACCAGCUGGCCAGUCUGCAGGCUUCUGGCCAUGUCUGAAGGCAUCUGAGACUGAACAAUUUGAGUUUGGGGAAGCAGUUGCAAAUUGCAAUUACCUCUUUCCUAAAACGUGAGCAGAGGAGAGCGAUUUACCAGUUGGAAACAUGAACCAUGUUCAUGUUCCAUAGGCAACUGCUGACACUUCUGAGAAGCAGUGAACUCACUAUAUGCACUCCUUAACUUUUCUGUGUAAUGUACUUCACAUCCUGACAAGGCAAAGGAUCGUGAAAUAUGGCUUGGACUACCUCCAUACAGGGGUAUCUAGCUCUUGCAGCUAGCAUACUGGUCAUCACUAUUCAACUGUAUAUAAUAACAGUACCUGAUGGUUCGCACUUAGUUGGAGGAUUCACAGAAUCGCAGAAGGGUUGAGGUUGGGAAGGACAUAUGGAGAUCAUCUAGUCCAACCCCGCUGCUCAAGCAGGAUCACCUAGAGCAUGUUGCCCAGGUUUGCAUCCAAAUGGCUUUUGAAUAUCUCCAAGAAAGGAGACUCCACAACCUCUCUAGGCAACCUGCUCCAGUGCUCAGUCACUCUCACAGUAAAGAAGUUUUUCCUCAUGUUCAGAUGGAAAACUUGAAAUGACUGGUAAUAGUGGGCCCCACUUCACCUGGUGCAAGUCAACUACUAAGCAAGGUGUCUUCAUCCCUCCCUCAACAGCUUUCACUAACUCUAGCUCUGUCAGAGUUGGAGCACAAGGAGACCAUAGGAAAGGGUCGUGCUGGCUGACAUGAGCUAAGCCAUUAAAUCAUUGUCUCUUACCAAGAGCUUAGAGCAAUUCUGUUCCCUUUCUGCUGGCCUCCACACCUCACUUCUGUGAUCUGAAUUACCUCGAAUGGCAUGUUUAGUAGAAAGUCAGGCUUUUUGGAUCCUUCAGUUGUCAGUGAAAUCAGUAGGAUUCUGCCCAUCUAUGUCUAGAAUAUUCUUUGGAAAUUAAGAAUUUGGUGGGUGUCAUUUCCAAGUUUCAGAAGUGAGUUCAGAGAAGCUACUUGUUGAGACAUGAAAAGGUGCAGAAAGUAGAACAACUUCUUGCUGUCAGUCAAAACAGAGUUUUUUGGAUAGUCCACUGGAAUAUUAUUCUCUUAAAUCAUUUAUCUAUGACUGUGAUUCAGACUGUUGAAAACAACAAGGUUCGAGUUUCCAUCAGGUGAAAUAUUGUUCUGCUGAAAGUUAAGGGUGAGUAUGUGGGCGAAGCAUGAGGGGUAAUGCAAAAAAUUAUGGGCAAUUUUCUUUGGGGGUGCACAAUGAAAUGCAGCCGGGCAUGCACAUGAGAAUAAGCUCUAUAUUUGAACAUGCACAACACAUCUAAAUGGUAAUGAACUACUUCAAAAAGGGCGAAAAAAACUUUUCUUUUCAGACAGACUGUAAACGAGCAACUUUAAAUAGCUCUUUAAAAAUUUGCCUAGACAUUCUGCAAAGCAGAUAUUUUGUAAUUAUCCUGUCAGAUUUUCAAUAGAAGUCUGAUGAGCACAAAGCAAUUAUCAUUUCUCAUACCUCUUCCCUUUAAUCUGUCCAAACUAUGUACUUGGCUGGCAGGAAUUUCAUCCUCCUAAUUAUGAUGUGAAGUUGCUAUUUAAACCAGGAAUGAAAAAGAAAACCCACCGUACUACCCCUUCAUUUACAGCUGAAAUAGAUUUUCUCAGUUAUUCCAAAUACAAGGCUCUAUAGAAGUCUAAUCAAAUUUCCAAUGAUUAGAAGAGGAGCAAUAUUAGUACCUGGAUGCUCUGCAUUUUAUUAAGAUGACCAUUAAUGAGAUUAAACCAUUUCAUCCCUUAUCUAUCUGCACUAUUUAAUGCUUUCCUGUGCUUACCAGUGAGUACUGGAAAAUCUUACAUUAAUUAAACUGCAGAAAGAAAGGUAGCGGCAGCAAAUUUAGUAGCAGCAAUUCUUUGCAGAUAGCUCAGCACAGGCAAACCAGGAAAAUUGUUAUAGGAAACUGAGGAGCGACUCCCAGCGCUACAGGAAAAGCUUAGCAACUAGCAGCAUAUGGCUGAACAACUAGAACAAGGCAUUGCCCUAAGGAAAUGAAGGUGACAUAUACCAUCCUAGGCUCUUAGCUAUCUCUGGUUUCAGCAUUAAUAUAAUGGUAGGUGUACACUGCAAAAAGGCAUGAUCUCAAUUCAGUUUGGCUAAUGGAAGUUAUAUAACUGGAGACAGAACAGUAGUGAAGGUGAUAAAACUUUGAUUUUUGUUCAGGCAAGCAAUACAAAUUCAACCCUGGCCUUUUCAAGCUGAUAGGAGAAGAUAUGGUAAUAGCUCACCAUUCGCUUUAUUUUCAGACAUAUUUUGAAAUCAGCUAGCAAAAUCAGAUUUGCCAACAUGCACUGAAAACACAACUUCUGUCCAUUACAGUUUAGACUUACCCUUUGAAGGCUGCUCUUCUGCCCCAGUGCAAUCAGCACCAAAGACAUAAGAGACUUCAAAUCUACCUUACUUUUCUAUGUCUAAAUAGAUCUUGUUAGACUAGAAUCUGGAAACAGAACUUUGCUAAGAUUCAGUUAGAAAGUCUAUUGUAUUCCCCUAUUAAUUUCUUGAUUAACUUUUUAAUAACUAACUUUUGUAAUGAAAAAGGGUAUUAACUUUCAUUAAUAAUGUUCUUGAAAACCUUUUCAGUGCUAAUUAUAUAAAAGAUAUAAAACUAUGUCUAGUUGCAAGCUAAUGAACAUAACAAUCACAAAUGCUGGGGUGUAUUGAGCUUUCACGUGACACCGCUCAGACUUAAAUAUGGCCUUGACAACAGGAACACAGAAAUGCCAUGGGAUUACAGAGCAAAGCCGAGUGCAUCUCCAAGCACAGCCAAUUCUGCAGCGAAGCCACCUAGGAAGACACCAUUCCUGCUCCUCUCUCCACAGACAAAGGCCAAAAGCAGAUGCCCAGAGGGAAGUAUAUAAGAGCAGCGCAGUUGUAUAGGAUGCUUCUCCCAGGAUUCUUCCAGCUCUCAACAGGUCUCCCCUCUAUUGCAUCGCUCAGUGAAAUGGAAUAAAGCGAUGAAGAGGUCAACAGAUUUUCCAGAUGCUCUCCAUAGCAAAACAGAAAUGAAAACCUAGCAGGCUUGGAGACCACAUUGGUGAGAGAUGACAUUCUUAUAGUUGAGUUGGUAGAGCUAGAAGACCAGGAGUUAAUUGUGGUAAAGGCAGCAAAGACACCCUCAGCCCAAGUUCAGGGUUACACUUCUAUAUGAGGUGCUGUGCACAUCUUCAGGAACAAGGCCCACAACACCAACUUUAAUCGCAUUAUAGGUUACUUGAUGCAGACCUGCCUAAUCGUACUAUCCUGCAUUGAUCCAUCUUGCAACUACAUCACUAGUAGCAGGCAAAGACAUCUUACCAGGGGGUUGAAAAGAGAGUGAUACAGAAGGGCAUCCCCUCUUCUACGCAAGUCGGAUGCUAACACAGGGUAGGUUUCCAUAGCUAGGAAGCCCACUGGAAGACAACCCGCCUAAGCCAGAACAGUUUCCACACCUCUCCCCACAGCCAGCCUGGUCCAGGCAGUCCCAGCCGGCUCCCAUCAGAACGGUUUCCAGAGCACCCAGGGGUGCCACGCACCCACUCCUUCCCACGUCCUGACCCAGGGGAGCGCCAGCCGAAUCUGACACAGCAGAGGAAGUAUAACAUCAGCAGGCAGGACAGGAGCUCAUCGAGAGAGCAAGGACGCUUUAAAGAAAGGUCUGAAGGAGGAGGGAGGGAAGCAAAACAGUGCGAGAGGAAAGAGGAACGAGCAUACGGAAAGGCGUGAUUAACACCAUGCAGUUCACAUGCGGUGUGAGGGAUGCAAUCUGAGUACAGAAUUCUGUUAUAUGGUAUGUUCAGUCCUAAUCCAGUAUUUUGUGCUGCUGUUAUGCAGCAGAUAUGAAAGCGAAGAUGGCAAGAGAAGGAUUUGUCUCACUGCCUUUGGGCCACUUAUCUAACAGAAAUAUCCCCUUCUGGGAGAAGGCAUUCAAUAGUUUCUUUCAUUUCAGGUUACAAAGAUGACCCUCACCUUGAUCCAAAAUUUACAUUAAUCAGACUUCUUCACUUGAUCAGCUAGAAUAUAAAUGAGCAUGCUUGCUUUGUGCUCAUGCCAAAACAUGUAUAAUGAGAACGUGGAAAAAACACAAGGUUCCUGCUGAGCAAAAAAGGUUCCAGGAUGUGUUUCCUUGUAUGAUAAUGGAAACAGCCAUCUAUUUUUCCUUAUAAUAGAUUAAAUUUCUUUUGAAGUGAA